ACACUCGCCUACUUGCUUGGUAUAAAAUUGUCAAUUAUUCAGCGCCUUUGACUCCGACUCUGGGGGUCACUUCGAAAAGUCUCUUUCUUCCUUCGCUUUCAUUAGCGAUCAUUGCACUCUUGGAUGGCACCCUCUAAGCUUUUACUCUUCUCCGUAUUCUUAGCCCUAUCAUUCACCGGAAUUACGGCAUACCCACCCCCUCCAGACGACGGCGCUUCUGAUUUUGCUCAGGAGGUUGCAGAUUCGUCUCUGGCACUCCAACUUCAGCAACUCAAGUCCAGAGUUUCACUUCUAGAAUCACGCAUUGAUGACAAAAACCGUGAGCUGAGAAAAAAGGAUGAAAGUAUUAAACUGAUGGAGAAGGUUAUUCAAGAGAAAUCAAAUAGCAUUGCUUUGUUACAAAGUGCUAUAGAGUCUGUACAGGGAAGAGAACCUUUAGAUGUUGUCGAGCUUGGAGAUAAACCACAUGUGCAGGCUGGUGGGCUUGAGAAGCAGGUUAAAAGACUUAGAGAGGACAUUACUGUGCAAAAUAAGAAAAGAGAUGAACUGGAAGCCCGAGCAAGUGUAGCUGAGCAGAAAAUUCCGGAACUGAGUAUAAAAUUAGAAAAUAUCAGAUAUCCCUUCAUUUGUGGAGUUCUGCGAUCAAGGUCCUACAUGGUGUAUACAACUAGACAAUCUCUUCGAAAAGUAAAUGAUGAACAGAAGACUGGAAUUCGGAAAACUGAACAUGAUCUUCAAGUUGCAGAGGAAGAAAUGGUGAAGGAGAAGUUUGGGAUUUCUUCAAUAUCUGAAGAUUUGACUGAGGUCCAUGGGGGAUGGCUUCCACAUACAUUUGGAGUUCAUGUAGACUAUUUUCAGACGUACAUUUUGACUUACUGGAACGAGCUUGGAAGACCAGCCUUCAAUCUGGGAAUUGAAAAGGCCUUAAAAAUGAAAGCUCGUGGUGAGGGUUGGACUGAGAUCAUCAUCAAAAGAAUCAGAACAAACUGGAUGCCAAGGUUGAAGAAACAGUCUUUGGAAUUUAAAGCCUAUCUUGAACCAAACAUUCGAUUAGUCACUGCAAAAACUGUUGAUGUAUAUCGUUCAUCAAAGAGUUCUAUAGGACCACUUGUUUUCAAGGCACAAAAUAUGGCAGAUCCUUACAUUCAGGAAGCUAAGAAAUAUACCAAGCCUUACAUUGAUCCGGUUGCUAUGGUGGCAAAACCACAUUUAGAUAAAUUACAUAUUGCCUUGAAGCCGUAUACCGAAAUGGUACUCAAUGCAUAUAGAAAAGUCAUCACCACUACAACAUUUUUGCAUCAUGAGGUAUGAAUUUCCUACUUUAUAUUUAUAUAAAACAUUAGUACCGACGAAUUCAAUCAAUUGAUUUCGAAGCACGAGUGGAACAUGCUAUGCCUCUUGGACUUUUGAAAAAUGAUGCAGUUGGACAUUAUUUGACUCUGCUCACAGAACUGAAGGGAAAAAAAAAAAAAUAUUCUUGGGAGGUGAGAACUUUGGUGAACACAUUUUUUUGAAAGGAGUCAAACAAUGAAGAAGGAGCUGAUUUGGCUGAUUUGGAUCCCAAUUUUUGUCUAUCUGUUCAUUACAGAGAAAGUGUUGGAAUCUAAAGGUCUUCGCCUAAGUCGGUCAAAGACAGAGUAUAUGGAGUGCAAGUUCAGUGCAAACGGAGGCUCAAAUGAAUUAGGGGUGAGGAUUGGAGAUCAGGAAGUACCAAAGAGGGACUGCUUUCGCUAUCUAGUAUCUAUCUUGGAAAAGAACGGAGAGUUGGAUGGAGACCUCAACCAUAGAAUACAAGUUGGAUGGAUGAAGUGGAAGUGUGCAUCCGGCGUGUUGUGUGACCAUCGUAUGCUACUGAAGCUCAAGGGAAAAUUUUAUAGGAUGGCAAUAAGGCGGACAAUACUUUAUGGCAUGGAAUGUUGGGCGGUGAAGCAUCAACACGUACAUAAAAUGGGUGUAGCGGAGAUGAGAAUGCUUCCUUGGAUGUGUGGGCACACGAGAAAGGAUAAGAUUAGGAAUGAGGAUAUCCGAGGUAAAAUAGGAGUAGCUAAAACUGAAGGAAAGAAGAUAGAUAAUCGGUUAUGGUGGUUUGGACAUGUGAAACGAAGGCCUAUUGACGCUCCGGUUAGAAGAUGCGAUUACGGGAUAGAGGUUCAUGGCCGAAAGGGUAGAGGAAGACCAACAAGGACCUUGGAAGAGACUCUAAGAAAAGACUUAGAGUGCUUGGAUCUAACAGAAGACGUGAUACAAAACUGAGCGCAAUGGCGUUCUAGGAUUCAUAUAGCGGACCCCACUUAGUGGGAAAAGGCUUUGUUAUUGUUGUUGUUCAUUACAGAGGAAACAGAGUGGAACAGUGCACAGAUAAGCAAACAUAAAAAUCAAAAGGAGUGAAUGCUUGCGUGAUAUACAAUAUUAUUUCUUUUAGUACUCGCAUGUUUUUAAUUUAAACUUAUAGAUCUGGUUUAAAUAACAGUAAUUCCGGUGACUUGCGGAAAUGAGCAGGCAAGUAUUAGUCUCAGCACUUCUUUGUUUGUUUGGUUUCUUCCACAUUGUUGCGUGCUAAAACACACUGUUUGUUGAUGGCCAAAUAUAAGCUUUCAUGGGCUUUUCAUUUGUUUGAAAGCAGGGUACAUCAGAAUUGCUAAUUUUCUGUUAUGGGCAAAACCGCAAAAAAUGAAAGGGCAAUCAUAAAUUUGUAUAGGAAAGGAAAUCCAAAUUCACGAGGAGUUGCGGAAAUCUCAGUACUUAUAAGUCAAAGAAAUUCUAAAAAAUAAUGAGUUGACGCAACCUGUUGCAAGUAUGGAACUGGCAUGGUUUGCGGCCACUGCAUUACUUGCCCUGCCUGCAGUAUUUCUGUUUAAGUUCUAUUCGGCCAUUUUCGG